rnacentral:rRNA from 1 species
UACGGGGGGAGCAAGCGUUGUUCGGAUUUACUGGGCGUAAAGGGCGCGUAGGCGGCCACCGCAAGUCGACUGUGAAGUCUCCGGGCUUAACCCGGAAAGGUCAGCCGAUACUGCGGGGCUAGAGUGCAGAAGGGGCAACUGGAAUUCUCGGUGUAGCGGUGAAAUGCGUAGAUAUCGAGAGGAACACCUGCGGCGAAGGCGGGUUGCUGGGCUGACACUGACGCUGAGGCGCGAAGGCGUGGGGAGCGAACGGG